UACCAAUUAUUAUCCCAUAUCAGUUAGAGUUAGGGUUUAGAAGUAGUGAUAAUACUACCCUGGAAGACGACUCCAUCGCCUUAUACGAAGACCUUUCGAUCGCCUAACAAGUAUCUGACCUCGCACCGUUUCUCCAUCUCUCAAAGGUUCUGUCCAGAUUGAGGGUCAACUGCGUCUUCAGCCAAACUUUGCUUCAACAACUCUGUCUUCAAAGCUAAUUGGUGGGGAAAAUGAGUUCCUUGCUUCUAUGAUGGUUGAUGUUUUUCUUGCAAUUGGCAAUGAUGAUAGGCUAAAUAUGAUUGGAAUCAAGAAGGUAUACCUCUAAAACAUUAAAAUUAGAUUCAACAUAAUGUGGUUGUAUAAUUGUUUCUAAUAAGUCGUUCAAACUUGAUAAAUUUAUGUUGUUUGCAAUAAUAAUGAUAUUGUAGUCUCCUUUCAUCCUUUAAUUGGCAACUUUGCCUUUUCUCU